rnacentral:rRNA from 1 species
UACGUAGGUGGCAAGCGUUGUCCGGAUUUAUUGGGCGUAAAGCGCGCGCAGGCGGUCUUUUAAGUCUGAUGUGAAAUCUCGUGGCUCAACCACGAGCGGUCAUUGGAAACUGGGAGACUUGAGUACAGAAGAGGAGAGUGGAAUUCCACGUGUAGCGGUGAAAUGCGUAGAUAUGUGGAGGAACACCAGUGGCGAAGGCGACUUCCUGGCCUGUUCUUGACGCUGAGGCGCGAAAGCUAGGGGAGCAAACGGG